rnacentral:rRNA from 1 species
AGAGUUUGAUCCUGGCUCAGAACAAACGCUGGCGGCGUGCCUAAUACAUGCAAGUCGAACGGGGAAAGCUUUCGGGUGAGUACUAGUGGCGCACGGGUGAGGAACGCGUGGAUAAUCUGCCUUAGAGUGGGGGAUAACUAGUCGAAAGAUUAGCUAAUACCGCAUAAGACCACAGGAGCUGCGGCUCAAGGGGUCAAAGGUUUUUCGCUCUAAGAUGAGUCCGCGUAAGAUUAGCUAGUUGGUGAGGUAACGGCUCACCAAGGCGACGAUCUUUAACUGGUCUGAGAGGAUGAUCAGUCACACUGGAACUGAGACACGGUCCAGACUCCUACGGGAGGCAGCAGUAGGGAAUAUUGCACAAUGGAGGAAACUCUGAUGCAGCGACGCCGCGUGAGUGAUGAAGGCCUUCGGGUCGUAAAGCUCUGUCGCAGGGGAAUAACACAAUGAAGGUACCCUGUAAGAAAGGAUCGGCUAACUUCGUGCCAGCAGCCGCGGUAAGACGAGGGAUCCUAGCGUUGUUCGGAAUUAUUGGGCGUAAAGCGGGUGUAGGUGGCUAUGUAAGUCAAGUGUGAAAGCCUGGGGCUCAACCCCAGAAGUGCAUUUGAUACUGCGUAGCUUGAGUGCUGGAGAGGUUACUAGAAUUCUUGGUGUAGUGGUGAAAUACGUAGAUAUCAAGAGGAAUACCGGAGGCGAAGGCGGGUAACUGGCCAAGCACUGACACUCAGACCCGAAAGCGUGGGGAUCAAACAGGAUUAGAUACCCUGGUAGUCCACGCCGUAAACGAUGGAUACUUGUUGUUGGAGGUAUUGACCCCUUCAGUGACGAAGCUAACGCGUUAAGUAUCCCGCCUGGGGAGUACGGUCGCAAGAUUAAAACUCAAAGAAAUUGACGGGGGCCCGCACAAGCGGUGGAGCAUGUGGUUUAAUUCGAUGCAACGCGAAGACCUUACCUAGGCUUGACAUGUACUGCAGACUGGCGAAACGUCGUCGCUCGCAGAGUCGUACACAGGUGCUGCAUGCUGUCGUCAGCUCGUGUCGUGAGAUGUUGGGUUAAGUCC